AGAGAAGCAGACCACAGCAGGAGGUAACAGGACAGAGAUCUAAAAAGUCAAAGCAGUUUUUAAAGAUGUUGGAGACGAUCAGAGUCUGAUGGUGCUGCUUCACAGUCAUGUCUCCUGUCAGUGUGGAUCUACUUACUGCUGAAAGUGUUUGUGGACCUAAAAUGAAACAUUAGAGAGAAGAGUUCAAGGAGUUCUGAUCACAGAUCCUGUCUUCUGUCAGGAUCGGUUUCUUUGUAGGACAAUAUGACUCAACAAAGCAGCGGAUUUAAAACACAUCUUCAACCUGGAGCCUCAGAAACUGUCACACAUCAAGGUUUCAUUAUUUCUACACAUCACUAAGUCCUCAGGAUCAACACAGCUCAUCUCUACAGUUUUGUUUGAGCUGCUCUGUUGGACCAAAGAGUUAAAUCAGCUCCACUGAAACCUGCUGAUAAUCACAUGACCUCAGAUGAGCUGCUUCCUCCAAACAAACUGAAUGACUGUGUGGAUCUGUUCAUCAGUCAUGUUGAACAUGAACAGCUUUGCAGGAUGAAGAAAACAGCACAAGUAUAGUAAUACUUCAAAUAAUUCAUGUAGAGUUCCAGUCUUACUGGAUUACUCCAAGUUCUGUUUGCUAAAGAACCUGACCGACAACAUGACAGCAGCAUCUUACAGGCCUGAGGACAGCCUGGAGGAGAGGGUAGAAGGGCAGAGGACAGGGGGAAAGACUAGAAUACAUAAAUACAUACAUAUAUACAUAAAUAAACACAUAAAUCAGGAGGAAGGUACUGAUUUUGAUUCAGACCAGGUCUUGUAUUAGAUUUUUAGCUGUAACCUGACAGGACCUAACCAGAGAUGAUGUAAUAGAAGUGAACUGAUUUUGGUGAUUUG